AACGCACAUUGCGCUUCCGGGAUAUGCCCGGUAGCAUACUUAUCUGAGUGUCUGUGAACACACCUCAGCAUCAUAUUCUGUACCAAUUUGGUCAGACUAAGGUAGCUGGAAUAUGGGAAUUUGAUACUACUAGCAGCGUUUCUGUGAAAGUAUCUUUCCUAAAAUGUUAGCUAUAAUCUUCGUUCUUUUUGAACGAGGAAGAGAUUGAACAAAACUGGAUAAGCCAUGUUGCAUCUAGUCCUAUUCCUUCUCUCUGGUAAUGCUUCGGUAUUCAAGAGUGAAAAUGAAGACAGGAAGCACUGGUGAUUCAGCUAUUGUCCCCAAUCGGAUCUCAGAUAAAGAAAGAUUACCCGCCGAAUUUAA
rnacentral:misc_RNA from 1 species